UACGUAGGGUGCAAGCGUUGUCCGGAUUUACUGGGCGUAAAGGAUGCGUAGGCGGACAUUUAAGUCAGAUGUGAAAUACCCCGAGCUUAACUUGGGUGCUGCAUUUGAAACUGGGUGUCUAGAGUGCAGGAGAGGUAAGUGGAAUUCCUAGUGUAGCGGUGAAAUGCGUAGAGAUUAGGAAGAACACCAGUGGCGAAGGCGACUUACUGGACUGUAACUGACGCUGAGGCAUGAAAGCGUGGGGAGCAAACAGG
rnacentral:rRNA from 1 species